rnacentral:rRNA from 1 species
UACGGGGGGGGCAAGCGUUGUUCGGAAUUACUGGGCGUAAAGGGUUCGUAGGUGGCCAACUAAGUCAGACGUGAAAUCCCUCAGCUUAACUGGGGAACUGCGUCUGAGACUGGAUGGCUUGAGUGCAGGAGAGGAACGCGGAAUUCCAGGUGUAGCGGUGAAAUGCGUAGAUAUCUGGAGGAACACCGGUGGCGAAGGCGGCGUUCUGGACUGCUACUGACACUGAGGAGCGAAAGCCAGGGGAGCAAACGGG